GAUGAACGCUGGCGGCGUGCCUAAUACAUGCAAGUCGAGCGAACGGACGAGAAGCUUGCUUCUCUGAUGUUAGCGGCGGACGGGUGAGUAACACGUGGAUAACCUACCUAUAAGACUGGGAUAACUUCGGGAAACCGUAGCUAAUACCGGAUAAUAUUUUGAACCGCAUGGUUCAAAAGUGAAAGACGGUCUUGCUGUCACUUAUAGAUGGAUCCGCGCUGCAUUAGCUAGUUGGUAAGGUAACGGCUUACCAAGGCAACGAUGCAUAGCCGACCUGAGAGGGUGAUCGGCCACACUGGAACUGAGACACGGUCCAGACUCCUACGGGAGGCAGCAGUAGGGAAUCUUCCGCAAUGGGCGAAAGCCUGACGGAGCAACGCCGCGUGAGUGAUGAAGGUCUUCGGAACGUAAAACUCUGUUAUUAGGGAAGAACAUAUGUGUAAGUAACUGUGCACAUCUUGACGGUACCUAAUCAGAAAGCCACGGCUAACUACGUG
rnacentral:rRNA from 1 species